rnacentral:rRNA from 1 species
UACAGAGGUCUCAAGCGUUGUUCGGAUUCAUUGGGCGUAAAGGGUGCGUAGGUGGCGCUGUAAGUCGGGUGUGAAAUUUCGGAGCUUAACUCCGAAACUGCAUUCGAUACUGCGGUGCUUGAGGACUGGAGAGGAGACUGGAAUUCCUGGUGUAGCGGUGAAAUGCGCAGAUAUCAGGAGGAACACCGGUGGCGAAGGCGGGUCUCUGGGCCGAUACUGACGCUGAGGAGCGAAAGCGUGGGGAGCGAACAGG